rnacentral:rRNA from 1 species
GACGAACGCUGGCGGCGUGCUUAACACAUGCAAGUCGAGCGGUAAGGCCCUUUCGGGGGUACGACGAGCGGCGAACGGGUGAGUAACACGUGGGUGACCUGCCCUCAGCUCUGGGAUAAGCCUGGGGAAACCGGGUCUAAUACUGGAUAUGACUCCAUGACGCAUGUUGGUGGGGUGGAAAGCCUUGUGCGGCUGAGGAUGGGCCCGCGGCCUAUCAGCUUGUUGGUGGGGUGANGGCCUACCAAGGCGACGACGGGUAGCCGGCCUGAGAGGGCGACCGGCCACACUGGGACUGAGACACGGCCCAGACUCCUACGGGAGGCAGCAGUGGGGAAUCUUGCGCAAUGGGCGAAAGCCUGACGCAGCGACGCCGCGUGAGGGAUGACGGCCU